CAAUCGAACCCGGAGAUAGCUGGUUCUCCCCGAAAUAGCUUUAGGGCUAGCGUCGCAGCGAGAGAGCCGUGAAGGUAGAGCACUGAAUAUGCGAUGGCCGCAUCCCGCGGUACUGAGCAUAAUCAAACUCCGAAUGUCACGGUGUCAUCUGCGGCAGUCAGACGGCGAGUGAUAAGGUCCGUCGUCAAGAGGGAAACAGCCCAGACCAUCAGCUAAGGUCCCAAAGUGCAUGCUAAGUGGAAAAGGAAGUGGAGACGUGCAGACAACUAGGAGGUUGGCUCAGAAGCAGCCAUCCUUCAAAGAGUGCGUAACAGCUCACUAGUCGAAUGACUCUGCGCCGAUAAUUUACCGGGGCUAAGCAUGACACCGAAGCUAUGGACAGGAAUGUGGUAGGGGAGCAUUGCAUGCAGCGGAGAAGCAUGACCGAGAGGGCAUGUGGAGCGCAUGGAAGAGAGAAUGCCGGCGUGAGUAGCGGCACGUGGGUGAGAAUCCCACGCACCGAUGGCCCAAGGUCUCCAGAGGAAGGCUCGUCCUCUCUGGGAUAGUCGGGACCUAAGGCGAGGCCGAAAGGCGUAGCCGAUGGACGACGGGUGGAUAUUCCCGUACCCGAUGUGUGGCGAUGGAGUGACGGAGAAGGCUCAGGCAACCAGCUGCUGGAAUAGCUGGGGCAAGCGAGAUACCUGCGCACCAGGGAAAUCCGGUGCGCGCAGGGGGAAGGCGCGAAGCAUACGGAAAGCUGCGGCAAGUACGGAAAAGCUGAGAGCAGGCUUCCAGGAAAAGCUUCUAGCACAACACGCAUCGGCCCGUACCGAAAAUGGACACACAUGGGCAAGGAGAGAAUCCUGAGGUGAGCGAGAGAACUAUAGCUAAGGAACUCUGCAAAAUGACCCCGUAACUUAGGGAGAAGGGGUGCUCCAGAAAUGGAGCCGCAGUAAAACGGCCCAAGCGACUGUUUACCAAAAACACAGCUCUCUGCGAAGGCGCAAGCCGAAGUAUAGGGGGUGACGCCUGCCCGGUGCUGGAAGGUCAAGGGGAGCUGUCAGCGCAAGCGAAGCAGCGAGCCGAAGCCCCAGUAAACGGCGGCCGUAACUAUAACGGUCCUAAGGUAGCGAAAUUCCUUGUCGGGCAAGUUCCGACCCGCACGAAAGGCGUAACGAUUUGGGCGCUGUCUCAGCUGUAGACUCGGUGAAGUCUUAGUACCUGUGAAGAUGCAGGUUGCCCGCGACUAGACGGAAAGACCCCAUGGAGCUUCACUGCAGGUUGACAUUGGGCUUGGAUGCAUGAUGUACAGGAUAGGUGGGAGGCUGUGAGCCGUGCGCGCCAGCGUACGGGGAGCCGCUGUUGGGAUACCACCCUUCAUGCAUCUAGGUCCUAACCGGAGGCAACGGGCCACGGGACAGUGUCAGUCGGGCAGUUUGACUGGGGCGGUCGCCUCCCAAAGAGUAACGGAGGCGCCCAAAGAUACCCUCAGCAUGGAUGGAAACCAUGCAUAGAGUGCAAAGGCAUAAGGGUGUCUGACUGCGAGACAUACAGGUCGAGCAGGGACGAAAGUCGGGCUUAGUGAUCCGGCGGAUCCGAAUGGAAGGGCCGUCGCUCAACGGAUAAAAGCUACCCUGGGGAUAACAGGCUGAUCUCCCCCAAGAGUUCACAUCGACGGGGAGGUUUGGCACCUCGAUGUCGGCUCAUCGCAUCCUGGAGCUGAAGUCGGUUCCAAGGGUUGGGCUGUUCGCCCAUUAAAGCGGUACGCGAGCUGGGUUCAGAACGUCGUGAGACAGUUCGGUCCCUAUCUGUCGUGGGCGCAGGAGGUUUGAGGAGAGCUGCCCCUAGUACGAGAGGACCGGGGUGGACGGACCGAUGGUGCACCAGUUGUCACGCCAGUGGCACAGCUGGGCAGCCAAGUCCGGACGGGAUAAGCGCUGAAGGCAUCUAAGCGUGAAGCCCCCUCCAAGAUGAGACCUCCCAUUGGCGACAAGUAAGGCCCCUCGAAGACGACGAGGUUGAUAGGCCGCGAGUGCAAGCGCAGCGAUGUGCUUAGCGGGGCGGUACUAAUAGGCCGAGGACUUGGCCAA
rnacentral:rRNA from 1 species